rnacentral:rRNA from 1 species
AUGCUCACCGCCCCUAAUGCCGACGGCCGCCCGCUCUUCGCCGCCAAAGACAUCAACGCCUUCUACCUGGAGCACUGCCCAAAGAUCUUCCCUCGCGUCAAGCGCGGGCCUCUCGGCUUGCUGAAGAGCAUCAAGGGGCCCAAGUACAACGGCAAAUAUCUGCACUCCGUCGUGCGAAAGCUGCUCGGGGAGACACGCGUGAGUCAAGCCUUGCAGAACAUCGUCGUCCCUGCCUUCGACAUCAAGCUGCUGCAGCCAAUCAUCUUCUCCAGAUACGACGCUCAAAGCGACGUCUCCAAAGACGCCCUCCUCUCCGACGUGUGCAUCAGCACGUCCGCCGCGCCCACCUACCUGCCCGGCCACCACUUCGAGACCACGGACAGGCACAGCAAGCCACGCGCAUUCAAUCUGAUCGACGGCGGCGUCGCGGCAAACAACCCGACGCUGCUGGCCAUGACCCACGUCAGCAAGCAGAUCCUCAUGGGCAACAAUGAUUUCUUCCCCAUCAAGCCGGCCGACUAUGGGAAGUUCCUCAUCCUCUCCCUCGGCACCGGGUCGGCCAAGCUCGCGGACAAGUUCGAUGCAGCCCAGUGCAGCAAGUGGGGCAUCUUCGGGUGGCUCUACAACAAAGGUGUGUCGCCGCUCAUCGAUAGCUUUUGUCAGGCAAGCGCUCACCUUGUGGACAUCCACGCAUCCGUGCUCUUUCAGGCGCUGCAUUGCGAGAGGCGCUACCUUCGCAUCCAGGAUGACGAUCUCAAGGGGAACACCUGCUCCGUCGACGUGGCCACGCCAGAGAACUUGAACAUGCUUGUCGACGUCGGCAAGGCACUACUGAAGAAACAGGUGUGCAGAGUGGACGUCGAGACCGGAAAAAGCGUGCCGGACUUGAAGAGGGGCACCAACGAGGAAGAGCUGAUCCAUUUCGCCCGAAUGCUGUCGCAUGAACGCAAAUCCAGGCUCCAAAAGAAGCAGAGCAGCGCUGCAAAGUAA